UCUCAAGGUAAGAGAAAAGUCAUGUCUUGGUCCAUGUUCUUCUCAGAGGCUGAUUCAAUCACGAUGAGUCGGAGAUAUUCUUCUGAGAGGCUGAAUCAAUCACGGUGAGUCGAAGAUGUUUUGAUGCAUGUAAAGAUAAAAAAAAAAGAAUAUGUCAAUAGAUACUCUUUUAUACCAGAUUGAUACACAUUUUUUAAAAGAGAGAAGGGGAACCUUUACAUGCAUAUACAAUCUCUAUACCCAAUUGAUACUCUUUUAUACCAACUUGAUACACUUUUAUACCAUAUUGAUACACUUUUUUAAAAAAAAAAAGAAGGGGAACCUAUAGAUGCAUAUACAGUCUUUAUACCCAUUUAAUACAUUUUUAUGUCACAUUAAUAUACUUUUAUACUACAUUAAUAUACUUUUUUAAAAAGGGAGAGGGAAUUCUUUGCAUGCACAUGCAAUCCCUAUACUCAGUUGAUAUUCUUUUAUACCACAUUGAUACACUUAAAUUCAACAUCACAUAUCCACUGACCUCCGUAUUUAUCAUUAUUGAAACUAAAACUAAAGUUGAAGUCAUUAUUUUGUAUCAAUUUUGAGAAAAGUUACAAUGGGAAAAAAUUAUAGGAAGCUAAUUGAAUGCAGAUUUUUGAAGAUUUUAUACAAAAUUUAUGGAAUAAGAAAGAUUAAUUGAAGUAUCGAAAAAGAUAAAAGAAUGAAGGUUUGGGAGUUUGAAUGGAAAGGAAAAUUUGAAUGAAAAGGAAAGAAAGAGAAAGUUACUUUAACGACAUUUUCAAUUAUGUUUACGCGUAUGGCAGUGAAGAUUAGCUAGUGAAAUUAGUUUGUGGCUAUUUAUAGAAUAUUUAAUUUUGAGUGCUAUUUUUAUGAUAUUAUUUUAAUUUUAGGUGUUAUUGUUGUCCCUUUCCCUAAUAUUUAUCCAUUAGUAACAGAUUAAUACAAAAUCCAAUAUUAAUAUAAAAACCUAUAACUCUUCAAUUGCUUCACUUUACAUUUUACUUUCCAAGUUUUUAAAAAGUUCUCAUUAUUUCUUCAUCUUACUUUCAUCUUACUUUUCUCAUUCUCCUCAACUUUCAUCUUACUCUUCUCAUUCUCCUCAUUCGUCAAAUUUUGAUUUAGGUUUGUUUCUCUUCUUUCUCUUUUUUCUUGUGAAAUUAUGUUAUAAUUAAUUAUUUUAUGAAAUUAAAUUUUUAACAAGUUAUCUCCAAUUCUUCAUUCUUCUUUAUGCUCACAUUUUAUGUGAAUGGAAACUUUCAGACAAAUUCUUCUUUAUGCUCACAUUUUAUGUGAAUGGAAACUUUCAUGUGAAUGGAAACUUUCAGACAAACUAUUGUGACAGUGACUUACAAAUUGAACUACUGAAUAUCCACAUAAUAUUACUUUGAGAGAUAGUAGUUUAAUCGUCUUAGUAAUUUGCCAACUUAAUUUUAAUUAGAACUACUCUAUGACUAUUGUUUUUUUAUAUAUCUUUUUAGUGAAAACAUUUAAUUUUUUCUUCAAUCACAUUAUAAUUAAAAAAAAAACGAAAUAUAAAAACCGAUUGUAUAUUGAUUUGAUUUGGCUUAUACAUUUAGAAAAACGACAUUGUUGGUUUGGUUAUAUUUUAAUAAAAAACCGAACCAACACUGCUGGGACAUAUUAUCAAAAUAAAUCUACAUUUUACUAAAGAUAAACAGAACAUGAGGUUGUCACAUAUAUUCAAAUAUAAUUCUUCUCCCUAAAGUCAAGCAAUUCAGUCAAUCAUGUCAAAAAUUUACCAUAAUCAACUCAAUUGUCACACUAACAAAUAAUUAAAUAGAUGAAUAACAAAGAUUUCCCCAAACAUAACAUCAGUCAACCUUUGUUAGGCCAACUAAAAGACCUCAGGUUACCAUACUUAGCGCACUAGAAUCUUCAAAAUCAAAUUAAAACUGUAAUUCUCUCUUGAUGAACGGAAUCAGUAUCAACAAAGCACAACUUCAUUUUAAAAAAUAGAACAAAUCCUUGGGCAUGCACAAUUAGGUUUGACCAAAAUCGAUAGGUAAGCAUAUGAAUUAGAACCAAAAUUAGGGUCAAAAUUAAGCACAUGCAAAUUUGGGCGUUUUCACAUAUGCCAGACUAGAGAUGCAAAUAAACACAUAAUUUAGACAUUGAACCACAAUUCUAACUCUAACACCAUGGAUUUUAAAUCUGAGAACUCAAAUAACAAAGAAAACAACGUCAUGCAAUUAAAGAAAAAGGGUCCAACCAGGACAUAAAUAGAGUGACCUUCCUCGAAAACCUCGCGUUUAUCGACUCCGGCAAGGAUGUGAAUAUUGAGAGGAGUCUUGGAGGAAUACCCGCGACUAUCGCGCAACGGUGGCGACGGGGUUCUCCGGUUGUGGACUGGCG
rnacentral:lncRNA from 1 species